AUUGAACGCUGGCGGCAGGCUUAACACAUGCAAGUCGAGCGAGCGGCGGACGGGUGUGUAAUGUCUGGGAAACUGCCUGAUGGAGGGGGAUAACUACUGGAAACGGUUGCUAAUACCGCAUACCAUCAGAUGUGCCCAGAUGGGAUUAGCUAGUAGGUGGGGUAAUGGCUCACAUAGGCGACGAUACCUAGCUGGUCUGAGAGGAUGACCAGCCACACUGGAAAUGAGACACGGUCCAGACUCCUACGGGAGGCAGAAGUGGGGAAUAUUGCACAAUGGGCGCAAGCCUGAUGCAGCCAUGCCGCGUGUGUGAAGAAGGCCUUCGGGUUGUAAAGCACUUUCAGCGAGGAGGCGUUACUCGCAGAGGAAGCACCGGCUAACUCCGUGCCAGCAGCCGCGGUAAUUC
rnacentral:rRNA from 1 species